rnacentral:rRNA from 1 species
AUUGAACGCUGGCGGCAGGCCUAACACAUGCAAGUCGAACGGUAACAGGAAACAGCUUGCUGUUUCGCUGACGAGUGGCGGACGGGUGAGUAAUGUCUGGGAAACUGCCUGAUGGAGGGGGAUAACUACUGGAAACGGUAGCUAAUACCGCAUAACGUCGCAAGACCAAAGAGGGGGACCUGCGGGCCUCUUGCCAUCGGAUGUGCCCAGAUGGGAUUAGCUAGUAGGUGGGGUAACGGCUCACCUAGGCGACGAUCCCUAGCUGGUCUGAGAGGAUGACCAGCCACACUGGAACUGAGACACGGUCCAGACUCCUACGGGAGGCAGCAGUGGGGAAUAUUGCACAAUGGGCGCAAGCCUGAUGCAGCCAUGCCGCGUGUAUGAAGAAGGCCUUCGGGUUGUAAAGUACUUUCAGCGGGGAUGAAGGGAGUAAAGUUAAUACCUUUGCUCAUUGACGUUACCCGCAGAAGAAGCACCGGCUAACUCCGUG